GUUAUCGGGGUUCGAUUAAGCCAUGCGAGUCGAGAGGGUUCGGCCCUCGGCGUACUACUCAAUAACACGUGGAUAACCUGCCCUAAGGAAGGGGAUAACCUCGGGAAACUGAGGAUAAUACCCUAUAGGUUACAGACGCUGGAAUGCCCUGUAACCGAAAGUUCCGGCGCCUUAGGAUGGAUCUGCGGCCGAUUAGGUUGUUGUUGGGGUAACGGCCCAACAAGCCGAUAAUCGGUACGGGUUGUGGGAGCAAGAGCCCGGAGUUGGAUUCUGAGACAUGAAUCCAGGCCCUACGGGGCGCAGCAGGCGCGAAAACUUUACAAUGCGGGCAACCGUGAUAAGGGAACCUCGAGUGCCUGUAUAUGCAGGCUGUCCAGGUGUCUAAAAAACACUUGAAGAAAGGGCCGGGCAAGACCGGUGCCAGCCGCCGCGGUAAUACCGGCGGCUCGAGUGGUGGCCGCUUUUAUUGGGCUUAAAGCGUUCGUAGCUGG
rnacentral:rRNA from 1 species